rfam:Colius striatus contig97442, whole genome shotgun sequence.
UAUAAGGAUUUUUUAAAAUCCACCUUGAAGAAAAGUUAUAUACUUA